rnacentral:rRNA from 1 species
CCUACGGGAGGCAGCAGUGAGGAAUAUUGGUCAAUGGGCGGAAGCCUGAACCAGCCAAGUAGCGUGCAGGAUGACGGCCCUACGGGUUGUAAACUGCUUUUGCACGGGAGUAAAGAGCCUUACGCGUACCGCCUCGAGAGUACCCUGUGAAUAAGCACCGGCUAAAUCCGUGCCAGCAGCCGCGGUAAUACGGAAGGUGCGAGCGUUAUCCGGAUUUAUUGGGUUUAAAGGGUGCGCAGGCCGGAGGUCAAGUGUGCGGGGAAAUUUACGGGCCCAACCCCGGCCCCGCGGUGGAACCUGGGGUGCUUGAGUCGGCGAGAAGCACGCGGAAUGCGUGGUGUAGCGGUGAAAUGCAUAGAUAUGACGAAGAACCCCGAUUGCGAAGGCAGCGUACCGCAGCGGAACUGACGCUGAUGCACGAAAGCGCGGGUAUCGAACAGGAUUAGAUACCCGUGUAGUC